UCUCAUACUUGCUUACAUCUCUCACAUUGUGGCUUUCUCACACACUCCUCUUCUGGCCGCUUGGCUGCGACACCCUUUAUGUGCCUUAGGUUAGUGCUUAUAAAGAGGCACUCCUUAGACCUAAUGUUUCUGCUGGAUCCACAAAUGGACAAACGAUCCUUCUUGGACAGCAACUGCAAAGACACCUUGUGGUCCCAAAAGCCAUAUCCAACCAGAGUUAAUUUACUUUAACUCUAGUUACCAUCUUGUUUGCCUUUGUGUAGCACUUGUGUAGUUGAUAAAACUUGUUCAUCAAGUUCUCAUCCUCACAAAUCUCCACCUGAGAACAUGAUGAUCAAGACCAAACAACCUGCACAUACUUGGGAUAGAGAGAAUGCCUUCUAAGCAGUUUAAACACCAUAAAACCUGCUUGCUUCUUCCUGCAUCAAACUUACAUUUAAUACACCUUCGUUGUAACGGUUAACCCCGCUGAACGAACCUGAGCCAUCAACACUUUAGAACCUUUUAACACCAGUUCUAAAAACCUGCAAAUCUUUAAAGGCUCUGCAUAUUUCACCUUAAUGCAGACCAAACGCCCAGCAAAUUGAUUUCUUUCCAAGACCUUCAACACUUCACCGCCAAACUGAGUUUUGAAAAAAUAACCAGCCUG
rnacentral:lncRNA from 1 species